AGAUUGAACGCUGGCGGCAUGCCUUACACAUGCAAGUCGAACGGCAGCACGGGAGCAAUCCUGGUGGCGAGUGGCGAACGGGUGAGUAAUACAUCGGAACGUGCCCAAUCGUGGGGGAUAACGCAGCGAAAGCUGUGCUAAUACCGCAUAAGAUCUACGGAUGAAAGCAGGGGAUCGCAAGACCUUGCGCGAAUGGAGCGGCCGAUGGCAGAUUAGGUAGUUGGUGAGGUAAAGGCUCACCAAGCCUUCGAUCUGUAGCUGGUCUGAGAGGACGACCAGCCACACCUGGGACUGAGACACGGCCCUAGACCU
rnacentral:rRNA from 1 species